rnacentral:rRNA from 1 species
GCUCCAAUAGUGUAUAUUAGAGUUGUUGCAGUUAAAAAGCUCGUAGUUGGAUUUCUGUCGUGGUCAUCCGGCCUUGCCCGUAGGGUGUGCGCCUGGGUUGCCCGCGGCUUUCUUCCGGUAGCCUUCCGCGCUUCGCUGCGUGCGUUGAUGUUCCGGAACUUUUACUUUGAGAAAAAUAGAGUGUUUCAAGCAGGCUUGUCGCCCUGAAUACUGCAGCAUGGAAUAAUAAGAUAGGACCUUGGUUCUAUUUUGUUGGUUUCUAGGACCGAGGUAAUGAUUAAUAGGGACAGUUGGGGGCAUUCGUAUUUAACUGUCAGAGGUGAAAUUCUUAGAUUUGUUAAAGACGAACUACUGCGAAAGCAUUUGCCAAGGAAGUUUUCAUUAAUCAAGAACGACAGUAGGGGGUUUGAAGACGAUUAGAUACCGUCGUAAUCUCUACCAUAAACUAUGCCGACUAGAGAUAGGGAAAUGCCUACCUUG